UCCAGCAUACCAUAAGGAGGCUCCACAGUGGUUUUAAGCUGGUCUGGGGAUACAGCUUUGAAGACUUCCAGCUUGGAACAAGGCUGAUGGAAGCUGUGGGGCAAGGGAUUUAUGCAAAACCUCAGCAUCUGGCAUUAUCUUUGGAGAGUAUGUGCCCUCUCUCUAUUACAGCAGUCCCUGCUGACAUUGACCCCAGCUGGAGCUGAGUGCUUGUAAGUCACUCAGUUUUAGUGUCCUGUAAAACACUGUUUUCCCUUAACAGGUCUGGCAGCCCCAGAAUAGCUCUGUGCACUUUAAUUCAUACAGCUUUGAAAGUUAUGACAGAUAAUACUAUCAAAGUCUGUUUCUAGAACAUAGGGAUUAACUUGCCUCAUUAAAAUGUACACUUUAUGCAGAGCAGGACUACCUGAAGAAAACUGUUUUAGCCAGUCCAAAGAUACUAUGUUCUGUGAGCACUAGGAUGAUCCCUAGUUGUCCUCUACUUCCCUGUAUUCAGAUUUUAACAAUCUUUUUUUAGAUGACUACAUAGAUAUCAUAGCACUGAGCACUUUUAAAAACCUAAAAUAGACUACAUUAGGUUAAAAUUCUAGGUAGUAAAGGAACUCGAGAGGAGAGAAACAUAAUUAACUUGGAGCAUGGAAAUAUUCCCUUGUGGGAAAACCACCCUGAAUUAAAAAAGGUGGUUUGUACAAGGUACCUAAUGGUGGACCCAGAACCUGUCAGGUUACACACUGAAUCUCUCAGGCUGAAAGUAGAAAUGCUUUUGGUUUCUUUUCCCCAGAGAAUUUGUUCGUAGCCAUUUGAAAGUUACUUGAUUUCUUGGUUAUACCUUUUUCAGUGUUUGGUCUUUUUCUGUCAAGAAAAUUAAAAGCUGUGUUGCUGAAAUUGCCUACAGUUAUCUCUUUGUAUUCAAAGAAUGCUUCUGAAAGCUCUGCUGGCAAACAGAGCCCAGCUCUGCUCACUUGAAAAUAAAAGGUGAAGGUCUCCUGAGCAGAUGGACAAGAAGCUCUGUGAUCUACAGGAACUGUAAACACAACUGCUCCAGAACCGAGCUCCUACUCUGGCAUUCACCAGCAGUGGACAGGCCUGUUCCUACAGACAUGCAGGUGGCACAAAGGCAAGUUUUUCAGAACUGUCUGUUGAGUUAUUAUGGCUGAAAAUUUUACAGUCCAGACUCUCAUAGUAGUUAUUACUGUCUUAACAUAAUUCAAUUGCUUUCUAACAGCCUCACCUAACUCCAUUAUUCUGGCACAUUGUCAAUCAGUUGCCCUCUGCAACACUGUCUGGUUUGGUUGUGUUUUUAGUUGUUUUUUUUUUUUUUUCUUUUUUUUGAUUAUGGUUACAUUGAGAACUUAAAAGAAAACAAAGGGUAUUUCUUUUAACUGUGCUAUGUACCAUCAGGCUGAUUAAUUCUAAGUCAUGAGAAAAAAGAAUCCUAGGAAAUAUUGCUAUGGCCAAAAAUAACCUUGCAAACUCAAGCUCCUUAUUUAUGCAGUUCUCAGUUUUUAUGGACAGGUCAGCAUCUCUGGCUGCAUUACAUCACCUUCCACGGGUCCUUAAAAGAGGCAAACUGGUUGGUUGGUAGAUUUUUGAAAAAUCACAGAA